rnacentral:rRNA from 1 species
GCGCGAGUCAAAGGGUUUUUAAUAGGCCCAUGGGGGCAAAGAAAACAAAGGGGGGCCUCAGCGCCGUUCGAGUUGGGAUUCCCCUUUUCGGGGGGGCGCACCAACGACCCGUCCUAUUCGGCUCGCCGAUUGGGCGGAGUUUGAGCGUACACGUUGGGACCCGAAAGAUGGUGAACUAUGCCCGGACAGGACGAGGCCAGAGGAAACUCUGGUGGAGGUCCGCAGCGGUUNUGACGUGCAAAUCGAUCGUCAGAUCUGGGUCUAGGUGCGAAAGACUAAU